rnacentral:rRNA from 1 species
GAUGAACGCUGGCGGCGUGCCUAAUACAUGCAAGUCGAGCGAACAGACGAGGAGCUUGCUCCUCUGACGUUAGCGGCGGACGGGUGAGUAACACGUGGAUAGCCUACCUAUAAGACUGGGAUAACUUCGGGAAACCGGAGCUAAUACCGGAUAAUAUAUUGAACCGCAUGGUUCAAUAGUGAAAGACGGUUUUGCUGUCACUUAUAGAUGGAUCCGCGCCGCAUUAGCUAGUUGGUAAGGUAACGGCUUACCAAGGCAACGAUGCGUAGCCGACCUGAGAGGGUGAUAGGCCACACUGGAACUGAGACACGGUCCAGACUCCUAAGGGAGGCAGCAGUAGGGAAUCUUCCGCAAUGGGCGAAAGCCUGACGGAGCAACGCCGCGUGAGUGAUGAAGGUCUUCGGAUCGUAAAACUCUGUUAUUAGGGAAGAACAAAUGUGUAAGUAACUAUGCACGUCUCGACGGUACCUAAUCAGAAAGCCACGGCUAACUACGUG